UUUGCCCUGAAUCAAGGCCAGCAGUUUUAGGAAGCUGUUGGUUUCCGGCAGGAGUCUAAAGUGGUAUCUUUCUUAGGUUUGUUGGCCAUUUCAGACAAAUGUAAUGGUCAAUUCAUUAGAAAGAAACAACU
ensembl:snoRNA small nucleolar RNA SNORA2/SNORA34 family